CAGGCUAUGACUAGAUGCCCUCUUCCUAUCUCUUGCAGUACGUUUAACCAAGAUGGGUCCAUAUUUGCUUAUGCUGUCUGUUAUGACUGGAGCAAGGGUGCAGAAAAUCAUAAUCCUGCAACAGCGAAGACAUACCUCUAUCUCCAUUCCCCGCAGGAAUCUGAGGUGAAGGGAAAGCCGCGCAUUGGUGCCACGCAGCGCAAGUGACUGACUGACUCUAAAGUAGAUCAAUGAAGGAAGAUUUGUCAUGUCCAUGUUAAUUAUCAUACACUGCUUUUCUGCUAUUCUUUCCUGCCAGCGGCUUAGUUAGGGUUCACGAAUGCUUCAGCUGUAAACUACUAGUAAGGGCAUUUUGUUUUUUGCUUUUUGUUUUCCCUUGAUUAUAUUGAAAUUUCGAAUGCAUCUAUAAAAAUUUUAACUUGUAA